rnacentral:miRNA from 1 species
UUCUCGGCGGUUAACGGCCUAUC